GUAUUUACAGCCUGAAGACUACUCCCAUACAGAGACUGCUCCUACUGAGAUCAGCUAAACCUGCCUUCUUCAUCCAGGACCCCAAGCUCAUGAAGCAGUGCCACCUACAUUCAGAGAAGGUCUUCCUGCCUCAACUCAUUCUAGAACCUUCCUCACAGACAUUCCCUGGGCUUUGUCUUUGGGUGAUUCUGGAUCCAGUCACGUUAAUAGUCAAUAUUAACCACUACAGUGUAUAAAAUAAAAUGUGUUUAAAA